rnacentral:rRNA from 1 species
UACGGAGGGUGCGAGCGUUGUCCGGAAUCACUGGGCGUAAAGGGCUCGUAGGCGGCCAACUAAGUCGGACGUGAAAUCCCCAGGCUCAACCUGGGAACUGCGUCCGAUACUGGAUGGCUUGAAUCCGGGAGAGGGAUGCAGAAUUCCAGGUGUAGCGGUGAAAUGCGUAGAUAUCUGGAGGAAUACCGGUGGCGAAGGCGGCAUCCUGGACCGGCAUUGACGCUGAGGAGCGAAAGCCAGGGGAGCAAACGGG